UACGUAGGGUGCAAGCGUUGUCCGGAAUUAUUGGGCGUAAAGAGCGCGCAGGCGGUCUAUCAAGUCAGAUGUGAAAUAUCCGGGCUUAACCCGGAGGGGUCAUUUGAAACUGGUAGACUAGAGUACAGCAGAGGAUAGCGGAAUUCCCGGUGUAGUGGUGAAAUGCGUAGAUAUCGGGAGGAACACCAGUGGCGAAGGCGGCUAUCUGGGCUGAAACUGACGCUGAGGCGCGAAGGCUAGGGGAGCAAACAGG
rnacentral:rRNA from 1 species